CUGCUGUAAGUGUCAACAUUUUUUGCUGGGUUAUAACUAUAGAAUACAUAGGAAAACCAGUCAGGUAGAUUCACCAAAUGAAAAACUUACAAAAUAUUAUUACACUUUAAUUCUAAAUUCUGACUGAUAUAGCAGUCCAAUUAUCUCACAAUUAAUACACUCUUCGGGAAAGUACUUCACUUUGGCCAUUGAGCCUCGUUUUCCUGCAUGUAACAUUCUGUGGCAUUAGUUAAAGGUCUUAAAGUGCAAUGUCACAGAAAAGCGAGGCUCUAUAGCCAAAGUGACAUACUUUCCCGAAGGGUGUAUUGCAAACAUUGUAUAGAGUAUAACUUAAUAAGUGAUUUAAAGAAGGGUAGAUCUGGUAACUUUACCUACAACAUUCGAAGUGGUACUCCACUUCAAUCGUAGCGAAGCGAAGCGUGGCGCAUUUCUUUGUUUCCUGACCACUAGAGUGGAACUAAUGACUUCGACACAAAAGAAAAUGCUACGAUACGUUACGAUAUGGUUGAAGUGGAAAACAGACUUAAGGUCUGUUUUAUACGACGAAUUUCGGUGGCAUGUAGUAAAACACUGACUACCGGAACACCACCGAAACACCACCUAACCCUAACCCGAACCCUAGACUCAAGAUAUUCCCAUGAAAUGAGGAGAUUCGUUUGUUUUCCAUUUCUUAAACAGGGAACUUAAACAUUAAGUUAAACCUAUUCCAAAUACAUUUUAAACUAUUUAAAUGAUAAAAGUUAUUGUUGUUUUUAAAGCGUUUAUUAGCGAGUGGAAACUUCAACAUGGCCGCCAUCUAUUCAAAUGCGGUAACCGCUGGAAUAUUCUUGGCUUCAAUUUUACUAAAAGAGAUGCGCUAUCUAGUGUAUAUAAGAUAUUUAUGCAUUCGACGCGACCGAAAUUCGACGUGUAAAACAGGCCUAACUUGUCAUACAACUACUCACCCAUACCUCAAAACAUUAUAAAUUUACUGUUCAUUUGGUAAGUAUUGCUCUGGACGAACUUGGACAAAGAAAAGUUCGUCUAAUAAUUUUUCUGAGUGAGUAUAUAAAUGCGGCAAACGGAUCAUUAAUGAAUUAUUCUUCAACUAGAAGGAAUUUCUGUGCGUAGUGUUCGUCUUGGUUCACACUAUAUUUUAGCUAGUUCAUCUAAACACACUGAGAGGGGUGAUCCGUCGAAUAAUGCGUCGUCAUAGAUGGUCCGUGUAUAAAUCGUGCCAAUGUAAGAUGAUGAAUAAGUACCAUCUUUGAGAGGAAGCCAAUCUUCCUUGGUCGUUCAGUUUAGCGAUCGACUUUCUCUCCCCAAAAUAAGGAAAUUUAGCAAAUUAUUUCAGUGGAAUUGACGAAUAUUGGGAUUUAAUUCACUUGCCUCGAUUCAGCGUUGUGCAUUAGUAGGUUUCAAAAGCACCAUCGUACAGCAGAUGAUGAUCAACCUGCAGUUAUCAAAGUGAGAAAAUAAUGUUCAUUCUUUUCAUUAUAUAUAGUUUUAUUUUCUGGCUGUCCACAUCUUGUUCAUCUCCUGUCCUGUAACAAUUACUGCAUCAACCUCGUACCCAGAGCUUCUGAGAGCCACAAGGACAGAAGGCCUGGGUACGAGAUUGUUACUCGGCAUGAAAUCGAUCAUAAAACCUGCUAAUAAUUUCCUAAAAGGAUUCAUAGUCCGCCCCAGUACCCUCCGCUUUCUCGCGAGUUUUACCAUUCUUUUGUCGACUUUUCUUUUUCGAUUUAUGUUUUUUCUCGCUAGACUCCGUCACACCGUCCUCCGAGUCCUUCGUUUUCGAUUUUUUCUUGUGUUUAUUCUUUGAACGAUGUCUGUGCUUUCCCUUGAUGAACAAGAAAACAAGUUAUGGGAUGAAAAGUAUUUCAGAUUUGUAUACUGGAUACUGGAUAGCUCUAUCAGUUCUAAACUGUAAGGAUCAUCUCUUAUUGAUCCAGUGUCACUACAGGAGGAAACCUAAAC
rnacentral:lncRNA from 1 species